rnacentral:misc_RNA from 1 species
AAAAAUUGCGGCCACAGUUCGUUCACUUCAGGCAUUGCGCACGCCAAACCAAAUACAGGAAAAAAAGAACAAGUAAUUAAAACAACAAAAUGACCCAUGCAUAAAUGCCACCAACAGCUGUGCCCUACUGCCAUCUACGCACGAGGGUUGUGGCCGGUGGUGUCGCCAGGCAACCCAGUUGGAUGAGUCCUCUCUACACCCAUGGGAUCCACUUGCCCACCGUAGGGCUGCCCUGCGCCUUGUCCAGGCAUGGCCGACAUUUGCUGGGUCCCCAUGGGAUAACCAGGCGUCCCACUUGCAGGCGAAUGGGUGUGGGAAUAGGCAUGAGGUUCGGUGCCAUAAGCAGCACCAGGCGUGCCUGUUGUGUAGUUUGCAUGGCCACCAGCCUUGGCUACCUGCUUUGCUGCAGCGUUAUGCUCACGCGCCUCCUGUUUGUUCAAUUCUGCCUCUGCCUUCCUCUGUUCCUUCUUUUGGGUUGCCAUUUCCUUCUGCAUUGGAUCAUGUGCUGACAUCUUCUCCACCUUCUCUUCGACGGUUGCUUUGGUUUUCUCCAUGCCAGCCUUAGCAGAGGCUGCAGCGUUGGCCGCGGUUUCCUUCAUGGACUGCAUUUUCGAUCUCUUCUUCUUCUUCUUCUAUAAUCAAACGCUUCAAUAAUU